GACGUAGGGCGCGAGCGUUGUCCGGAUUUAUUGGGCGUAAAGAGCUCGUAGGCGGCUAGUCACGUCGGAUGUGAAAACCCGAGGCUCAACCUCGGGCCUGCAUUCGAUACGGGCUGGCUAGAGUACUGCAGGGGAGACUGGAAUUCCUGGUGUAGCGGUGAAAUGCGCAGAUAUCAGGAGGAACACCGGUGGCGAAGGCGGGUCUCUGGGCAGUAACUGACGCUGAGGAGCGAAAGCGUGGGGAGCGAACAGG
rnacentral:rRNA from 1 species